GAUGAACGCUGGCGGCGUGCUUAACACAUGCAAGUCGAACGAAGCACUUCAUAAAGCUUGCUUUAAGAAGUGACUUAGUGGCGGACGGGUGAGUAACGCGUGGGUAACCUGCCUUACACAGGGGGAUAACAGUUAGAAAUGACUGCUAAUACCGCAUAAAACAGCAGAGUCGCAUGACUCAACUGUCAAAGAUUUAUCCGGUGUAAGAUGGACCCGCGUCUGAUUAGCUUGUUGGUGGGGUAACGGCCUACCAAGGCGACGAUCAGUAGCCGGCCUGAGAGGGUGAACGGCCACAUUGGGACUGAGACACGGCCCAAAACUCCUACGGGAGGCAGCAGUGGGGGAAUAUUGGACAAUGGGCGAAAGCCUGAUCCAGCGACGCCGCGUGAGCGAUGAAGUAUUUCGGUAUGUAAAGCUCUAUCAGCAGGGAAGAAAACGACGGUACCUGACUAAGAAGCCCCGGCUAACUACGUG
rnacentral:rRNA from 1 species